rnacentral:rRNA from 1 species
GACGAACGCUGGCGGCGUGCUUAACACAUGCAAGUCGAACGGAAAGGCCUGCUUUCCCUUGUGGAUUGCGGGUACUCGAGUGGCGAACGGGUGAGUAACACGUGAGUGAUCUGCCCCCAACUUGGGUAUAAGCCUGGGAAACUGGGUCUAAUUCCCGAUAGGACUGCAGGGUGGUGCCUGUGGUGGAAAACGAUUUUCUAGUGGUUGGGGAUGAGCUCGCGGCCUAUCAGCUUGUUGGUGGGGUAAUGGCCUACCAAGGCGGCGACGGGUAGCCGGCCUGAGAGGGUGGACGGCCACAUGGGGACUGAGAUACGGCCAAGACUCCUACGGGAGGAAGCAGGGGGGAAUAUUGCGCAAUGGGCGGAAGCCUGAUGCAGCGACGCCGCGUGGGGGAUGACGGCCUUCGGGUUGUAAACUCCUUUCGACCGCGAGGAAGCCACCUGGUUGGAAGGGUGGUGACGGUAGUGGUAGAAUAAGCACCGGCUAACUACGUG